rnacentral:tRNA from 1 species
GCAGAUGUCAGGAUAUACUGAUGAACAAGCUCUCCGAAGGCAGAGGUCAGAGGUUCGAAUCCUCUCGGGUGCGCCA